CCUACGGGUGGCAGCAGUGGGGAAUAUUGCACAAUGGGCGCAAGCCUGAUGCAGCCAUGCCGCGUGUGUGAAGAAGGCCUUCGGGUUGUAAAGCACUUUCAGCGGGGAGGAAGGCGGUGAGGUUAAUAACCUCAUCGAUUGACGUUACCCGCAGAAGAAGCACCGGCUAACUCCGUGCCAGCAGCCGCGGUAAUACGGAGGAUGCAAGCGUUAAUCGGAAUUACUGGGCGUAAAGCGCACGCAGGCGGUCUGUCAAGUCGGAUGUGAAAUCCCCGGGCUCAACCUGGGAACUGCAUUCGAAACUGGCAGGCGAGAGUCUUGUAGAGGGGAGUAGAAUUCCAGGUGUAGCGGUGAAAUGCGUAGAGAUCUGGAGGAAUACCGGUGGCGAAGGCGGCCCCCUGGACAAAGACUGACGCUCAGGUGCGAAAGCGUGGGGAGCAAACAGGAUUAGAUACCCUUGUAGUC
rnacentral:rRNA from 1 species